ACACGCACAGCAGACUAGAGCAAGUCUUCACAGACUUUCUCAACUGCUUCUCGCAGAGUGGGACGCUGCUUGUAUACUGCCCGCCCUGCCGGAGUGACUCUGUAGCAGUGUCUCCGGGGAAGAUCCCACGAUACUCUGAUGUGACAGAGGCGCAGAGGAUUAAAUCGCGACCAUCUCCCAGUCCUGGUCCACCUGCACGUCCAGUCCUGACCUUACCUUCGAGCUCUAAAU